rnacentral:rRNA from 1 species
UAGGGAAUCUUCGGCAAUGGGGGGAACCCUGACCGAGCAACGCCGCGUGAGUGAAGAAGGUUUUCGGAUCGUAAAGCUCUGUUGUUAAGGAAGAACGAGUGUGAGAAUGGAAAGUUCAUGCUGUGACGGUACUUAACCAGAAAGGGACGGCUAACUACGUGCCAGCAGCCGCGGUAAUACGUAGGUCCCGAGCGUUGUCCGGAUUUAUUGGGCGUAAAGCGAGCGCAGGCGGUUAGAAAAGUCUGAAGUGAAAGGCAGUGGCUCAACCAUUGUAGGCUUUGGAAACUGUUUAACUUGAGUGCAGAAGGGGAGAGUGGAAUUCCAUGUGUAGCGGUGAAAUGCGUAGAUAUAUGGAGGAACACCGGUGGCGAAAGCGGCUCUCUGGUCUGUAACUGUCGCUGAGGCUCGAAAGCGUGGGGAGCGAACAGG